AGAGUUUGAUCAUGGCUCAGGACGAACGCUGGCGGCGUGCCUAACGCAUGCAAGUCGAGCGGAGGUGCUAAGUGGAUGGGGUAACUCAUGAAGCUUAGCAUCUUAGCGGCGGACGGGUGAGUAACACGUGAGCAACCUAUCCUCAGCACGGGGAUAACAGCUCGAAAGGGCUGCUAAUACCCGAUGGGACCACUGAGUGACGCAUGUCAUGGUGGUGAAAGGGGCCAGUGAUGGUUUGGCUGGGGAGGGGCUCGCGGCCCAUCAGCUAGUUGGUGAGGUAGAGGCUCACCAAGGCGACGACGGGUAGCCGGCCUGAGAGGGUGGACGGCCACAGUGGGACUGAGAGACGGCCCACACUCCUACGGGAGGCAGCAGCGGGGAAUUUUGCGCAAUGGGCGGAAGCCUGACGCAGCGACGCCGCGUGAGGGAAGGAGUCCUUCGGGAUGUAAACCUCUGUUGAUGGGGAGAAGGAGGAGAUAGUACCCAUUGAGGAAGCCACGGCUAACUACGUGCCAGCAGCCGCGGUAAUACGUAGGUGGCGAGCGUUGUCCGGAUUUACUGGGCGUAAAGGGUGCGUAGGCGGCUAUGCGAGUUAAGCGUGAAAGCCUUGGGCUCAACCCGAGGAUUGCGCUUAAUACUGUAUAGCUUGAGUGCAGGAGAGGGCGGCGGAAUUUCCGGUGUAGCGGUGAAAUGCGUAGAUAUUGGGAGGAACACCAGUGGCGAAGGCGGCCGUCUGGACUGUAACUGACGCUGAGGCACGAGAGCGUGGGGAGCGAACAGGAUUAGAUACCCUGGUAGUCCACGCUGUAAACGAUGGAUGUUAGGUGUG
rnacentral:rRNA from 1 species